rnacentral:misc_RNA from 1 species
UUCUUAUACUUAACCUAAAGGCUACUGAGGAAGUUAUUCGUUACAAUUCGUUACAUACUUCUUGAAACAUACCCCGAAAGGACGAUUAAAUUAAUGAAGAAAAAAAAAUUGGUUGCAUACGACAAAACAGAACUUAUAAGCCUGUAAAUAUGGUGAACGAGGAGCCUCCUGUUGAACCAAUCAAGAAGCCUCAACCCACUUUCAAAGAUCCAACAUUUCAUCAAAAAUUUCGCCCAAUUAGUAGUUCUGGAAAAAAAAGAAUCUGGAGAUCCCUGAAGCAGGUACUUGCUCAGGAGCGAUCGCUGCCUUGGCCCCUGGGGGUUGUUCAUUAUAGUUCGAUCAAUGCACCUCCAAGUUUCAAGCCUGCCAAGAAGUAUUCGGAUAUUUCUGGACUUCCAGCAAGGUACACAGAUCCACAGACCAAGUUACACUUUGCCACAGCCGAAGAGUAUGCAACUGUUCGAAGCCUGCCUAUGGAUAUUACUGCUGGAUACUUAGCAUUACGAGGAGCAUCUAGUAUUGUAGGUUGAAUCACUGAUCACGAUCAUUGAUGAUCGAUCAGGAACUUUGUUGCGUUAUUGCCGAUGAUCUUUAUUACUAGAACAAUGAUAAGAGUAAAACUGAUCUAAGGUGUAAACACCGAAAAAGUAUGAGAAGACUUGUAAUUUAUAUUUUAUGAGUAUAAUACUUGGAGCUAUUAGAAAGUUACGUAUGGUCUCUCUACAAUUCUUUUCAAAUGCUAUUAUUUGUCACAAAACUUUGUACAUCGAUUUCGAGCAGUACGGGAUUUGUAACUUGAUGUAUCUGUUGCUUGUUUCGCUUCAGUAUAUGGUGUUGUCCACAAUUACAACACAAAAUCGUUGUUGGUCCUAACCCACUAUCGUGUACGGAAGCGGGAUAAAUGUACUAUUAUGCGGAAUACGAAAAAUCCAGAACAAAUGUUCUACUUGGGUUGAAGCCUUGGAAUUUUCAAAAUAAAACAGGAUUCCACCAUAUUUUUUAUUGUAUUUCGGUAUUACGUCUCCUUAAUAUUUUACACAUAUUCAAUCAAUUCAUCAUUAAAAAAAGCUUGUCCAUUAUAACUUAUUGUACGAACUAAAGACUAAAGGAGGGGUGGUG